CCGGCCUUAGCUCAGUUGGUAGAGCGGAAGACUGUAGAUCUUUAGGUCACUAGUUCGAAUCUGGUAGGCCGGA
rnacentral:tRNA from 6 species